AUACGGAGGGUGCAAGCGUUAUCCGGAAUCAUUGGGUUUAAAGGGCCCGUAGGCGGAUUGGUAAGUCAGUGGUGAAAGUCUGCAGCUUAACUGUAGAAUUGCCAUUGAUACUGCUAGUCUUGAAUUACUGUGAAGUGAUUAGAAUGUGUAGUGUAGCGGUGAAAUGCAUAGAUAUUACACAGAAUACCAAUUGCGAAGGCAGAUCACUAACAGUAUAUUGACGCUGAGGGACGAAAGCGUGGGGAGCGAACAAGAUUAGAAACCCUAGUAGUCC
rnacentral:rRNA from 1 species